AGGAUGAACGCUGGCGGCGUGCCUAAUACAUGCAAGUCGAGCGGCAGCGCGGUCUUCGGACUGGCGGCGAGCGGCGGACGGCUGAGUAACACGUAGGAACGUACCCCAAAGUGAGGGAUAAGCACCAGAAAUGGUGUCUAAUACCGCAUGUGCUCUAAGGAGUAAAGCUUCGGCGCUUUGGGAACGGCCUGCGCAUGAUUAGCUUGUUGGUGAGGUAAUGGCUCACCAAGGCGACGAUCAUUAGCUGGUCUGAGAGGAUGAUCAGCCAGACUGGGACUGAGAACGGCCCAGACUCCUACGGGAGGCAGCAGUAGGGAAUUUUCCACAAUGGGC
rnacentral:rRNA from 1 species